GAUGAACGCUGGCGGCGUGCCUAAUACAUGCAAGUCGAGCGAACGGACGAGAAGCUUGCUUCUCUGAUGUUAGCGGCGGACGGGUGAGUAACACGUGGAUAACCUACCUAUAAGACUGGGAUAACUUCGGGAAACCGGAGCUAAUACCGGAUGAUAUAUUGAACCGCAUGGUUCAAGAGUGAAAGACGGUCUUGCUGUCACUUAUAGAUGGAUCCGCGCUGCAUUAGCUAGUUGGUAAGGUAACGGCUUACCAAGGCAACGAUGCAUAGCCGACCUGAGAGGGUGAUCGGCCACACUGGAACUAAGACACGGUCCAGACUCCUACGGGAGGCAGCAGUAGGGAAUCUUCCGCAAUGGGCGAAAGCUUGACGGAGCAACGCCGCGUGAGUGAUGAAGGUCUUCGGAUCGUAAAACUCUGUUAUUAGGGAAGAACAUAUGUGUAAGUAACUGUGCACAUCUUGACGGUACCUAAUCAGAAAGCCACGGCUAACUACGUG
rnacentral:rRNA from 1 species